GAACGUUUAAUAUACCUGAUCGGCUCUAAAAUGUCUCCUAAUGUUAUCAUUUUAUUGGUGAUUUCUGUAGUCGUAGUUUCGGGAAACCAAACUCCUGGAGUAAUAACCAUUGCAAGGUUUCUUAAAGACCUUUCUAAGCGCCUGGACGUCCCAAUCAUCGACUCCCACUUGGUCAAGUCCGAAGGCCUGUGCUCGGCGCGAUGCGUCAGAAACCGCGAAUGCGUUUCUUAUAACUUGAAGAAGAAGCAGACGACCAGUUGUGACGAAAACAUCUUGUGCGAAUUGCUGAAUACGGAUAAAUUCAACGAGACCACUGCUUUCAAAAAGUAGUGUUGACUUCGACUAUUUCUACCCCCCGAGCAAAUGCGUGAAAUCCCCGUGUAAGAAUGGCGGAAGCUGUCGUACUAUUUACAGCACUAACAGCUACCAUUGCAUCUGCACGCCAGGAUGGACAGGAGCAAACUGCGAGACGUUGAUGGUCUGCGGUAGUAUAUUGCGAGGAGAUCCCAACACCAAAGACAUGACCACCAACUACCCAGUGCCAGCCGGUUGGCUAUUGUGCUACAUUGACGACCGUGACACAGCACAUCACGCAACCCCUUGCCAUGACCUCAUAGUCAACAUUCCGGGCUACGUCGACAGUCAGGCUUUGCUUGACGCAGGGGGGAAUUUCGGGUGUUGGCAUGGCUACACAGGGCCAUCGCCUGGUCCCUCAUAUGCGACGAAUAAUAUCAUUCAAAGAGGCUGCGUGGAUGGUAGACAA